GCCAAAUGAGGAAUGGCGCAGUCAGUAGAGCAGAAGACUCUUAAUCUCAGGGUUGUGGGUUCAAGCCCCACAUUGGCU